ACGGUCAAAGUUUUGCCUGUGAGAAAUUUGAGUGAUGCACAUGUGGUGGAGAAACGGGGCUACGUGGAGACCACCACGGCUUUUGAAACACCCCAGCUAGUAUACCAUACAGUGCAGUGAGAUGAAUGCAAGUGUCCUUUCAGUCACGUGUCCUUUGCAGACAGGCAACACUUCUCAUCUUCAGACAAACAAUGAUUUCCAUCUGUAUUAUCAUCACCACUCUGGCAACAACGGCUCUGGGAAAAGGGGCUGUUGAAUGUCAUUUCUCUGAACCUACUGGAGGUCGGCGGUGUUUUGGAGAAGAGGGGCAGCCGCUGCUUUUUCAUCUGAAAAACUCGGCAGAUACAGAUAUUAGGUUGAUUAAAGACAGUAAACAUCUGAUUUUAAGAGCAAUCAAUAAUCAGAUUGUGAAGCUGAAUGACGAAUAUGUGAAUCAACCUGAACUCUUCACCGGAGGGACAAUCAACCAAAGAGACACUCUGGAGAUUACCUCGUGCAAGAAUUUCGAGCUGAUGGUGCUUUACUGAGAAAAGUUAAUAUUCACCUAGAAAUACAAGCUCCAGUGUCGAAGCCGGCUGUGUCUCAGACGUGUUUGUCACCUGAUCAGAUGGAGGUCAGCUGGUCCUCUGAAGGAGAUGGAGUACAGUUUAUUUUGACUUUAGAUACUCUGUCACUGAGUUGGAUCAGAGCUGAAGGACACAACCCGGAUGUUUCAAAAUGAAUCGUCAGCCUACCUGGUCCGAUGACGGGAGACUUGACCUGUAAUGUUCGAAACAAUGUCAGCAGCCACGAAACAGUUAUUAAGCUGAAAAGAUGCAAAGAUUCGUUUCCUUCCUCCCUUAUGGUGACUGUGGCUGCGACAGCUGGUGGUGUCACAGUCCUUCUCCUUGUGGCCUUGUGUCUUGGCAAAAUAAAUCAUCAUAACAGAUCAAGACCCAUGACUGUAAAUGAUGCUAACUCUAAAAUCGAAAUAAUAUACACUGAUGUUGUGGUGAUGGCAAAUAUAAGGACUUCCUCACUCACGUCACAAAGCAAGUGAUUGUUAAGUCCCUGCUUAACCCCUUUACUCGUUUUUUUUUAUUUCUUAAAAUCACUUUUAAAAUUGUGGAAUUGCUUUAAUGUAUUCAUGCUUUUGCUUAAAAAAUAUUAUUUUAUUUGCUAUAAUUUGCCAUUUAAUUGCGCAUCAUUUUAGUUUUUUUUAUAUAUCUCAAUUUUUCCUGUCUUUUUCACUUGUUUUUUGUUUGAAACAUUAAGGGCAAAGACUGCUACAAAAAAAAAUGUAUUUCAAAAAAAGGGGUGAAUCUAUGAACAAUCCUUUAGACGAAUUGAAAGCAUGUCAUACAAUUUACAGUUUCAAAGAAUUGUUUAAAAAUAGAGUAAUAGAUAAAUAUAAGACACAUGACAACUGAUCAUUUGAUAAGUGAUAAAUUAAAUCUUGUGAUAUUGGGUCUGACUUUAAACACUUGUGUUAGAGAGGAAAGUAAUGUGCAGUCAUGUGUAUCAUGUGAAUGGUUAUUAUUUGGACUGUGAAAUUUGAAAGAAUGGAUGAGAUAGAGUUUCAUAUGUGAUGACGGUAUCAUUUAUAAAUCGGCUUCAGCCUUCACCUUUUUGAUCGAUGCAUUAUUUGUUGUUGGUGUUUUGUCAUUAUUAGUGAGUUUGUGUAAAAUUGUAAUCUCUGGAUUUAUUACUUAAAUUGAUGUCGAUUAAUUUUCAGUUGAGCGAUUUAAACGUCACUUGACACAAAUUGUAUAGAAAAAAAACAUAUCGAUAGGUUUUAUUUUCAUACAAAGAUUUCCAUGUAACUUGUAAGUAUCUUUUACUUUGCAUUUAUUGACUGCUCAAUAGUUCAUCAAUAAAAAGCGUAACUUGUGGGGGACAUCUA